CAGCCGCCGCGGGAAUACGUAGGGUGCAAGCGUUAAUCGGAAUUACUGGGCGUAAAGCGUGCGCAGGCGGUCUGACAAGUCAGAUGUGAAAUCCCCGGGCUUAACCUGGGAACUGCAUUUGAAACUGUCAGGCUGGAGUCUUGUAGAGGGGGGUGGAAUUCCAGGUGUAGCGGUGAAAUGCGUAGAGAUCUGGAGGAAUACCGGUGGCGAAGGCGGCCCCCUGGACAAAGACUGACGCUCAGGUGCGAAAGCGUGGGGAGCAAACAGGAUUAGAUACCCCGGUAGUCCCUGUCUCUUAUAC
rnacentral:rRNA from 1 species